AGAGUAUCACUGGAGUACUGAAGAUUAAGGAUAAUUACAAUCCAGCAACAUGGAUAUUAGAACUCACUUCUCCUUUUUCCGAAAUAUACAAAGAUUUUGUUCUAAAUGGGAAUAACAAAGAGCUUGUAAGGGAUUUUAGUACUCCGCUUCCUGAUUCAAGAGAUCUGCAUUUUCCAACGUGCUUCUCCCAAAACUUUUGAGGGCAAUUCAAGAAUUGCCAAUGGAAACAAGUGUUUAUCCAAUUUGCACCGAAUCGUACACGUUAUGAUAGCAUCUUUUGUUUUUGGUGCGCUCUUUUGGAAUCAAGGAAGAAAAUUGGAUGACGAGCAAAGUUUGUUCAAUAUAUUUGGUGCAUUAUAUGUUGCUGUGAUAUUUUUAGGUAUCAAUAAUUGCUCAACAGUUAUAUCAUAUGUUGAGACAGAGCAAACUGUUAUGUAUCGAGAAAAAUU